UACGGAGGGUGCAAGCGUUAAUCGGAAUUACUGGGCGUAAAGCGUGCGCAGGCGGUUUGUUAAGUCCGUUGUGAAAGCCCCGAGCUCAACUUGGGAAUUGCAGUGGAUACUGGCAGGCUGGAGUACGGUAGAGGAAGGUGGAAUUCCCGGUGUAGCAGUGAGAUGCGUAGAGAUCGGGAGGAACACCAGUGGCGAGGGCGGCGUUCUGGACCAGUACUGACGCUCAUGCACGAAAGCGUGGGGAGCAAACAGG
rnacentral:rRNA from 1 species